CUCAUCAGACAGAGCGAAACCUCAAUAUACUGGAGUCCCUGUGAAUCUGAUGAGUAGACAAAAUUUGCUAAAAAGAAGAGAAGGCUUCAAAUCAUUUGACAGUACAAGACACAAUUGAAGGAACUAGAUGUUUUGUUCUGAGAAACUGGAACUCUCAGCAACGGCACACUCUUCAGUCAGUCUGACCCACUCACGAAUGCUGACAUGCUGUAACUCACGGGUCAUACACAAAGGACACGCAAUAGCAGUGUCUUCCUGUCUCUUACCAAGUUUCCACAGGACAACUCCGGGUUGGUUGGAGCUAAGCACACACACGCAGUGGGUUGUUUGAUUAGAGAGGAAUCUUAACGUUGGGAAAUACCAGUCUUUUAUAAUGGGCUUCAAGCAGCGCUGCUCAGUCAUUUUCCUAGGAGGAUCAGAUACCAUCUCAACACAGACCUCUUCACAAAGAAAAGCACCUUGCCCUUUGCCGGAAAACAUUAAGAAACACGAGAGGCCUGUGGAGAGUGGCUUUCAGUAGUAACUGCAAUCUUCAGAGCAGUCACGCGAAAGCAUAAUAGGAAUCGCCAUCAGUCAUUGCAGAUGCAAAACAAGAUCCAGAGAUGAGAAGUGCAGGGAGAGGCAUGCUGGCUGAUAAGGGCGUGCUUUAUACAAAGCAGAGGGAGAGAGGUCGUAAGGGAUGCCUUGUGAAGUUAGGUGAGGUCAGGAUGAAGCCUGCCUGUCCUUUGUCACCAGUUAUUAAGGAAAGCAGUGCAUGUAACAGAGAAAUUGAAUAGUUCCACAGGCUUCUUCCUGCACUGGGAUUAGCAGAGGGGAGAAGAGAACAAAGUACCAUAGUACCCUCCAUGUUGAAGAAGGACCCCCCCCCCCCCAUGGAAGCGUAAGACCCCAGAUAUCCUGAAUCCUCCAGAUACUGAAGUUUUCCCUCUGUUUCUAUGUCUGUGAUAAAGCCUUCCAUUAAAGGCUCAACAACGACAGAAUAACUCUAACAACGUGUGACUUUUUAAAAAAUGAUGUGAAUGUUAUCUCUCAGUUUAUUCCUGGAAUUUUCCAUUUAAUAUUUUCAAACUGUAGCUGAUCUCUAGCCACUCCACGGCUGAGAGCAAGCUUCAGCUGAGAUGGCAGGGGAGGGAGCGCUGUAGCAAAGAAGAAAGGCAGCAGAGAAAAGGGAUAAAUUCUGCUUUCAAAGGGCCAGCUACUUCUCGGAUGGCAAGUCUUCUGAGCCUCUGGAUCCCCAGAGCACACAGGUUUCCCUUUGAUGACCCAAGGACAGGGCAGUAUCCAGUCUCUGUGAACACCGUUGCAGGCUUCCUUGUCCGCCGUGCCCCUUCAGCUAAGAAAAACAUCUCAGAAGUCUGGUUGGAUUAAAGGAAGCUCGAAGCCUCUCCCUAGAUUGAUGAGCCUGUAUUUUGAGAACAAAUCUUUGCUAAAAGACCUCUUGCAAUCUAACUGGAAACAAUUCUGACAUAUAAGCAGAAACUUCAGGAUAUUUAAAAAUAAUCCAUCAGCUCAGGGACUUCUUUUUUUUUUCCCAAAACAAGUAUUUCCGUGCUGCAGAAAGAGACUAAAAUUACAACCUUUGGGACAGUCAGCAAAUGGUUAUCUCCAGCCCUGGAAUUAUUAGCUGGUCCCUUUGUUCAGCUUGUGAUGGACGACAUACAGACAAAAUGAUGUGAUACUAAGAGGUGAAGACUGACAGAAUCAGAUGUGUGAGCAAAAGUGAAGGAAGGAAACAGGAGAUAAGGAUGUAUUUUAUGUCCUAUGCUUACGGUCCUGCCAUAUGACCCAUUCCUCUGACUCUUGGUGUGUAAAGUGAGACACCCAGCAUGGGCAACAACCCCUUUCUUUGUAGUUCUGGGAUCUGCCAAGAACCCAUGAAACUUUGCUUCCCUCAGAACAAGAAUAAGCUGGAUAUCCUGGGGUUGACAACAGGGCUUGGGAGAGAAGGGGUAUUGCCCUUGAAAAUGCUCUAAAUGAGAGUUCUCUUUCUCUAGGCAAUGUGUUUAUAGAACCAUCAGUCUGGAUACUGGGAAAGCCUGUGGGGGGAUCUUAGAGGACUUUGUGGGCCUUUAGGAUGUGGCAUGAGUAUCCAUUUAAAUCAGGAAUCUGGAACACCUUUCUCCACGACAAUAAAUCCAGCAGAGCACUCUAAUACUAAAGCAAACAUGCAAACAACAGUAAAAAGCUCCUUGGAAAGGGACUCAGGAUAGCUGGGUCCUGGAUCUUCCAGCCAAAGCCAACUGUAGAAGAGGAAGGACUGCUGUCUGUAGAGUGGACGUUUGCCUGGAAAUUUCAUUUCUCUUUUCUCAGAAACAAGAUGUCCAGAUGAAGCUUAGGGGAUUAUUUUUUGUUUCAGGCCAAUAAUCCCUUCAGGCACAGGCCAGUUUGACCCUGGAUUGUGUGUGCUCAGUGCUUUGAGCACCAUUUCUGGGAAGCUCAUUAUAAAUCAAUAAAUAAGACAUCCACUUCAGACUUCAUCCAGUGCUUUGGGGCUUAAAGUUCUUCUCAAAAGUAUUCAGGUUUCUAUAUUUUUACACACCAAUUCUGAGAAUGGAUGCCUUGAAACUGCAAGGCUCAUGUUUUAAUUUUUGUUUGGUGAUUUUUUUUUUCAGCAUAGCAAAUGCAUCAAUGUACUUAUAGUCUGAAUCCGUUUGCAUAUCACACUGUGCAUCAAGGACAAUAAAAAGGGGACUUGAAUAGAUUUAUUUUUUCUACGUAUUCAAGUAUCUGCAGGAUCUGGAAUCUGCCUCCUGAAAUUGUAUAUCUUACCUCCACUUUAACCCUCGAAAACAGAAUUACUCGUGCUUAUAAAUCUAACAACAAGGAGUUGAGUUCAUCUCCUCCACACUUCAAGUUGAACAUGUUUUGUGCCUGUUUAUACUUUAAGAGGUUUCUUGCCGGAAGAAAUGUUGAUGUAAAAACUUGGGGGUGUCUUGAAGGACAUAAAGCAGGGACUUGUAAUUUAGAGCUCAGACUACAAAUGACAUCACUAUGUUUUUCUGAAUCAAAGAGCAGAUCUAGAGUGAGUGACCUUGGUAAAGAUAUUUUUUUCCCAUCCGGAGAUGCAGAUCUACGUGAUAAAGAAACUUAAUUUGAGGUUGCCCCAAGGAAGGGGGCAGAAGCUGGAACUACUACCAAGGUUCCUUGUGGCAUUUCCUUCCCAUGGAUCUACAGUGACUCCCACUAUCACCAGGGUGCCCAGCUCCACGUCUGUCCUUCAUGGGGACAGCAACCUCUCUCCACUGUCUACUCCAACCAGGCUCUCCCAACCCAAACAUUCCCGCUCACACCAUCAUCUCCUUAUUCCCCAGCCUGCUCUCCUCCCCUUGGAUACAUCAAUGACACCCCUGUCCUCAAAGGUCAGGUUCUAGAUUCUGUCAUGAUAAUAACAUACUGCAUAAAGCUUUGUACCACAAGCUCAGAUAUGGAUUACUACAUGGGAACAAGGGGCAUUGUCUUCACUGAUGGUUUCAGAUCACAUCAGUCAUUCUCCAUGUUUUAUCUUCUGGAUCGUUGCUCCUCAACUCACAUCUAUAGAAUCAAGCCUGAGGAUGGAAGACCAUGGUAUAUUCCGAGGAGAAACUGAGGAGCUAGGAGAAUCUCAGGUGGGAUUCUGAGAGUUACUCUUUGUUUAUUUAUUUAGGAGAGGGUAUCGUGGAGUCCAGGCUGGCCUCACACUUACCAUGUACCUGAGACUGCUAUUUCUUUGUAUAUUCUUCCAUAUUGUUUGACAGAUUCUUAUCAUGGUCUUAUGGGACCUUUAUAAUGGAAAUCAGACUAUAUAUUAAGCUCCACAGAUGAUUCUGAGGUGACCUUUCAGCCAUGGGUCACAGACAUCUUCCACUUAACUAUCUCUCCAGCCUUGUGACAUCUUCAUGCUUGCAUAUUGAGAGUAUUCUUCUCCCUCCCUUGUACCCGUGCUCCCAUUCCUUUUUCCUACAUCCCCCUAUAGAACAGGCUACAUCUGUACUGGACAGUCCAUAUUCACCUUUCCUAAUCCCCCUAUAGAACAGGCUACAUCUGUACUGGACAGUCCAUAUGCACCUUUCCUACAUCCCCCUAUAGAACAGGCUACAUCUGUACUGGACAGUCCAUAUGCACCUUUCCUACAUCCCCCUAUAGAACAGGUUACAUCUGUGCUGGACAGUCCAUAUGCACCUUACCUACAUCCCCCUAUAGAACAGGUUACAUCUAUGCUGGACAGUCCAUAUGCACCUUUCCUACAUCCCCCUAUAGAACAGGUUAAAUCUAUGCUGGACAGUCCAGAGGCCCCUUUCAUGAAAGGGGAGGGAAUGUGAUGACCUCCCCUGCUCUCUUUUGUCUUUUGGGAAAAUGUUACCCAUUCAGUACCCCAUAUCAUUACUAUCACUUUAUCUCAGUAAAAUAAGAGGACAUAUUACUGCAUCUUGAGAUUUUUUUUAUUUGGUAACUAUGUGCACAUAAAAA
rnacentral:lncRNA from 1 species